GGAAAAGCUCAAAUUUAAAAUCUGGUAGANNGCUGUCCGAGUUGUAGUCUGGAGAAGCGUUUUCUGUGCUGUGACCGUGUACAAGUCUCUUGGAAUAGAGCGUCAUAGAGGGUGAGAAUCCCGUCUUUGACACGGACUGCCAGUGCUCUGUGAUGCGCUCUCAAAGAGUCGAGUUGUUUGGGAAUGCAGCUCAAAAUGGGUGGUAAAUUCCAUCUAAAGCUAAAUAUUGGCGAGAGACCGAUAGCGAACAAGUACCGUGAGGGAAAGAUGAAAAGCACUUUGGAAAGAGAGUUAAACAGUACGUGAAAUUGUUGAAAGGGAAACGCUUGAAGUCAGUCGCGUCGACCAGAACUCAGCCAUGCUUCUCGUGUGGUGCACUUUCUGGUAGACGGGCCAGCAUCAAUUUUGGCCGCUGGAAAAAGGCUUUGGGAAUGUGGCACCUUCGGGUGUGUUAUAGCCCUUGGUCACAUACAGCGGUUGGGAUUGAGGAUCUCAGCAUGCCUUUAUGGUCGGGGUUCGCCCACGUUCAUGCUUAGGAUGCUGGCGUAAUGGCUUUAAACGACCCGUCUUGAAACACGGACCAAGGAGUCUAACAUGCCUGCGAGUGUUUGGGUGGAAAACCCGAGCGCGUAAUGAAAGUGAAAGUUGGGAUCCCUGUCGUGGGGAGCACCGACGCCCGGACCAGACCUUCUGUGACGGAUCCGCGGUAGAGCAUGUAUGUUGGGACCCGAAAGAUGGUGAACUAUGCCUGAAUAGGGUGAAGCCAGAGGAAACUCUGGUGGAGACUCGUAGCGAUUCUGACGUGCAAAUC
rnacentral:rRNA from 1 species